CCUACGGAGGGCUGCAGUAGGGAAUUUUCGUCAAUGGGCGCAAGCCUGAACGAGCAAUGCCGCGUGAACGAGGAAGGUCUUCUGAUCGUAAAGUUCUGUUGAAGGGGAAAAAGAGCGGAGAGAGGAAAUGAACUCCGCUUGAUAUUACCCUUCGAGGAAGUCACGGCUAACUACGUGCCAGCAGCCGCGGUAAUACGUAGGUGGCGAGCGUUAUCCGGAAUGAUUGGGCGGAAAGGGUGCGUAGGCGGCCUGCGAAGUCUGGAGUGAAAGGUACCGGCUCAACCGGUAUAGGCUCUGGAAACUGGCGGGCUAGAGAGCAGGAGAGGGCGGUGGAACUCCAUGUGUGGCGGGAAAAUGCGUAGAUAUAUGGAAGAACACCAGUGGCGAAGGCGGGCGCCUGGCCUGUUACUGACGCUGAGGCACGAAAGCGUGGGGAGAAAAUAGGAUUAGAUACCCUUGUAGUC
rnacentral:rRNA from 1 species